GGUCAGUCCAUUUUGGCAUUACUAUUUCAACUACUCUAUUUUCCUACCUCUCUCGAUCUCUCUCCAGUCUCUACGUCCAUCUGGUUCGCCCAGAUUUUAUUAAGAAACCCUAAUUCUCUACAAACCCAGGGCAAUGGCGGGACAAUCCGACCCACAUCUCUCCAUCUUUUCGGCUCCGGAGUUGGAGUUCCUCGCAGAGGAUGAAAUGGUGGAGGUUGUUCCCAACAUCAGGAUGGAAGCUCUGCACGUGAUCUGCGGUGAUUUUGGCCCAUUCUUUCCACAAAUUGCCAAAGUGCCGCUUUGGCUUGCCUUAGCUCUGAAGAAACGUGACAAAUGCACCAUUCGCACUCCAGAAUGGAUGUCAGUUGGUGAGAGCUUAAUUUCUUUUCCGGAAAUGUGCUUUUUUUCUACAUUCCUUUUGUUAUACUUAUAUCUUUUCUUAACCAUGUUCUUGUUCAAUGGUUUUUCCUACUGAUGAUGAAGGAUAACAGACCAUUCAGAUUACAGUAAGGUAGUCAAUUGAUUUUUGCUUUUGUUAGAGAGGUUAACACAGGUGCUGGAAGCGGAACGAGAGUCCCCGAGAGAAUUUCAGCCACUGCCAUUCCAUUAUGUAGAAAUCUCCAGACUUUUAUUUGAUCAGCAUGUAGUCCAUACUAUGUUUUCUUCCAUGGUGUUUUUGUUUUAUAUACCAUUUUAGGAUGCUGAACUUAAGUAUACACUGUUUCUAGUGCUCGUGAUGACAUCCCGGACAUAUAUAUGAUCUUUGAUCGAGGAUAUCCGAUAUGUGAGGUUUCACAAGGUCGAGACUGGUCUAGAGACAAUAUCUGGUCGCACACAUGCAGUGAAGCUCAAAAAUCUCUCUGCAAUGGAAGUUAAUAUAGUGCGGCCAUUCAUGGUCAGAGCCUUGCAAGCUUUCUAUAAGCAUGAUAGCCCACAAAUGAUUCAGCAGCCACAGACAAUGGGGAGCAGACGACCACAAGUGGUAGAUCGUGGCUCACGACGAGAUCUCCGGCCCAGGUAGAUAGGCAAGCUUUGUGACUACUGAUGGGUUUUCCAUCCAUCUGACCAUCUUUAUCGAGAAAAUAAAAUGCAUAUACAUCGAUAUGAGAAGGAAUCUUUGCACGUUGUGGCAAUCCUAUCCGACAGCCAUCUCCACCGUAUGAUUCCCUGGGAAUGUACGAACAAAAUAAUUUGUGGGUCCCGCAUGUAUCAUUUUCUCAAGGCCUUCUAAAUGGGCCCAGUUGGCCGAACGUGUGUUGGCAAACAGGCCAAAGGCUAACAUAUGGGCCGAACUGCCAAUGGCCAUGGAAGGACCAACCUGCGGCACGCCGCAUGGUGUCCCUCCAUGCAAGCGUCUACCUAGCGGACUUCAUGGCCUAUGAACGUAGUCUCUUCUCUGGCUUAUUGAUAGUUCUUCAACUUGUCACCUUAACUUUUUUUAGAACGAAGACUCUCAUGAUCAGCGUGACAGUGAUCAACAAGUGUCAUCCUAUUUAAAGUAACUACUGCAUCCUCCUCUAUAGUAAACAGUGCUAGCCUAGCCUGCUUGGCGUGCACAAUGCACUUGGAUGUCUUUUCACUUCUUUCCUUUUCUAACUUCAGGGGCUUGUAUUGGAGUGUGUAACAUUUGCUCAAAAAGGUAGCCUGAAGGCCCCCGUGUCCA